rnacentral:lncRNA from 1 species
UUUUUGAGAACACAGCAUUCAGUCCAUAAUACCAGCUCCUGGUACUUUCCAGACAAUAUGGGGACAGCUGGGAAGGAAGUGGGUCAUCUGACUAUCAGGAUCAGACCGGUUGAAGCAGUGAUCACCUCUUGCCCUCACUCAUCAGCAUGAGCACCUUCCUGACUUCCCCCCACACUGUAAAAAUAUGUCUCUGUGCUUUGGCUCCUCGUCUCUAACUUCAUCAUGCAGGGUUUACCCACAGCUCAGACCUCCUCACCUACAAUGCAGCUUCCCAACACUAAUCUUUCUGAAUCUUACAAAAUAUCUGUUCCACAAGAGAUGUCACUUUUCAUUCACUAAUUUUGCAAAUAUCAACUGUUUUAUGUAAAAAAUUUCUAAGAUAAAACACCAAUAAAAGACUAUUAUUUCUACGAGAGCUGUUUUGACGGGAGUGAUAUAUGAAAUCGAUUCUAUUCUGACUCAUGACA